UUUUGAGGCAAUUUCUCUUGAGGAAAUCUUGCAUUUAAUUGCAAAAUAAUCUCUUGAUUUUUGUCAAAAGCACAGAGACCUAGUUCUACCAAACACUGCUUAUUCUUUUUAAAGGUUAAAAGGUUAUAAUUCAGCACACACACAGCAAUGUUUCCUGGGUGGUCCUGGGUGAUUAUGGGCUUCCUGGAGAUCCAAAAAUGGAUGAUGGAGGAGAAAAACAUAGAUAAUAAAAAGAAGUACAUCAUAAACCCAGAGGAUUUGGGUACAGACGUGGACACCGGUCUCCGUGAGGAGGAAUUCGAUGCUUAUGUGUCUGAAGAGAUUGACAAUGUUA